rnacentral:pre_miRNA from 1 species
UCUUUGGAUGCACACUGCCUGGCACGAUUCGAACCCCCGACGACUCGUGCCAAGCUGUGUGCAUCUCAAGA